rnacentral:lncRNA from 1 species
AUGCCACCUGUUUUCCACCCACUUCCUCCUGCCUCUUUUACCCUUCCCCCUUUCAGUCAGACACCUUCUAUGUAACUCAAGAUGAACUGUGAGGUUUAGAGAACAUACUCUUGAAGGAAGGAUCGGAGGGAGGAUGAGGUAAAAUGAGCUGGAGAAGAAAAUGCCAAGGCUAUCCAGUACCUUUGCCAAGGAAACCCCAAAAUGGUGACACAAAGAGUCAAACAUCCCUGAACAACAACAAAUUAUAUGUCAUGGUAAAUUUGAAGAAACUGAAAAAAAGCAUAAAAAAUUAUGAAAGUGAUCAACAACUGAGUAAAGG